ensembl:lncRNA
GCAUAAGUUGUUUGACAUCGGUCUGAUUGUAUAUGGCCGACAAAAAGACUGCUCUUGUCUAAUUACUACCACGAAUGAAUGAAUGUAUGCUGGAUGUGUGUAUGCCAUGCUGAGGUGUGUGUGUAUACUGAGGUGUGUGUGUAUGCUGUGGUGUGUGUGUAUACUGAGGUGUGUGUAUGCUGAGGUGUGUGUAUUAUGUGGUGUGUGUAUGUUGAGGUGUGUGUAUUAUGUGGUGUGUGUAUGCUUAGGUGUAUGCCAUGCUGAGGUGUGUGUAUGUUGAGGUGUGUGUGUAUACUGAGGUGUGUGUGUGUAUGCCAUGCUGAGGUGUGUGUAUGCCAUGCUGAGAUGUGUGUAUGCCAUGCUGAGAUGUGUGUGUAUGCUGAGGUGUGUGUAUACUGAGGUGUGUGUAUACUGAGGUGUGUGUGUGUAUGCCAUGCUGAGGUGUGUGUAUGCCAUGCUGAGAUGUGUGUAUGCCAUGCUGAGGUGUGUGUAUGUUGAGGUGUGUGUGUAUACUGAGGUGUGUGUGUGUAUGCCAUGCUGAGGUGUGUGUAUGCUGAGAUGUGUGUAUGCCAUGCUGAGGUGUGUGUAUGCCAUGCUGAGAUGUGUGUGUAUGCCAUGCUGAGGUGUGUUUGGCCACCAGACUGGGUGUCAGCAGAGGGAUCACUGACUGCACAAAACAAAACCACAUUAGCAUUCAUUCAUGUAGCAGACAUUAUUAUCUAAAGCAACUAUCAGUACAG